GGGCCGGGCCGGGCGCGCGGCGCCGCUUCUUAACGCGCCUCGCGGGGCGGCGGGAGCGCCGAGCGCCGGAGGGACCGCGACUGUCGCGACAUGAGCGAGAGACAAGGAACCGGAGCUACAAAUGGAAAAGACAAGACAUCUGGUGAGAAUGAUGGGCAAAAGAAGGUC